GAUGAACGCUGGCGGCGUGCCUAACACAUGCAAGUCGAACGGACGGACGAUAAGCUUUCUCUUCUAAGGUUGGCGGCUGGCGGGCGGGUGACACGUACAUCACCUACCUCUAUUUCUUGGAUGACUUCGGGGAACCGGUUCUGAUACUGCCUAAUAUUUUCAACCGCUUGGUUCAAGAGUGAUUGACGGUCUUCCUGUUUCUUUUAGAUGGUUCCGCGCUGCAUUAGCUAGUUGGUAAGGUAACGGCUUACCAAGGCAACGAUCCAUAGCCGGACUGAGAGGAUGAUCGGCCACACUGGAACUGAGACACGGUCCAGACUCCUACGGGAGGCAGCAGUAGGGAAUCUUGCGCAAUGGGCGCAAGCCUGACGCAGCAACACCGCGUGGGUGAUGAAGGCCUUCGGAUCGUAAAGCUCUGUUGUUAGGGAAGAAAAGAUGUGUAAGAAUAUGCGGAUAUUCUGACGGUACCUAAUGAAAAAGCCCCGGCUAACUACGUG
rnacentral:rRNA from 1 species